GAAUCUAGACUGAAAUAAUUUAGUUCACGUGCCACGAGCUGACGUACAUCCCUGUCGUCUUCCUCGUGUUUGCUACCCAAACAAGAUCCCCAGUAGAACAAAUCUCUACUUACAUUGCUAACCAGACAGCAGCAACUUUGAGUUGUUGAAGGAACCUACUAGAGUCCUACACCAGCACUGUAAAGCAGAUGGAUGGCUGUUUGGAGGCAUCCCUUUCCCCUUUGAGUAUUCCAGAAUACGUUUUGGGUUGCAGUGGCAGGCGAAUGCCGCUUUUGGGUUUCGGCACUGCUGCUUCUCCGCCCGUCGGAUCACAACUUACCAAGACCGCCAUUCUCCAAGCCAUUGAACUUGGUUACCGGCACUUUGAUACAGCAAGUUUAUACGGGACAGAGCAACCACUGGGUGAAGCAAUUCUAGAAGCAAUUGCAGUUGGGUUAAUUAAAUCUAGAGAUGAACUCUUCAUCACUUCCAAGCUCUGGUGCAGUGAUGCCCAUGGGGAACUUGUCCUUCCUGCCCUUCAGAGGAGCUUAAAAAAUCUGAGGUUGGAGCAUCUUGAUCUCUAUCUCAUUCACUGGCCAGUAAGUUCAAAGCCAGGGAUUUAUGAGUUUCCAAUAAAGCGGGAAGAUUUCCUGGCGAUGGAUUUCAAGGCAGUAUGGAAAGCUAUGGAAGAUUGUCAAAGGCUUGGUCUUACAAAGUCUAUUGGAGUUAGCAAUUUUUCCUGUAAAAAGUUGGGUGACAUCCUUGCCUUUGCUAAAAUCCCUCCAGCUGUUAACCAGGUGGAAUUGAACCCACUGUGGCAACAAAAGAAGCUAAGAGAGUUUUGCAAGGCUAAUGGUAUCCUGUUGACUGCUUAUGCUCCACUGGGAGCCCAAGGUACCAUUUGGGGCAGCAAUAGAGUUUUGGAGUGUGAAUUGCUCAAGGAAAUCGCUAAGCAAAAAGGGAAGACAGUUGCUCAGAUUUGUUUGAGAUGGGCCUACGAACAAGGGAUCGGCAUAUUGGUGAAGAGCUUCAACAAGGACAGGAUGAAAAGCAACCUUGAGAUAUUCAACUGGUCAUUGAGUCAAGAGGAUGUGAAAAAGAUCAAUGAUAUCCCGCAAAGCAGGCUUUGUAGUGGACAAGAUUAUAUCUCCAAAUAUGGGCCUUUCAACACUACACAGGAACUUUGGGAUGGAGAAAUUUGAUUUAAGCAUCUAUGUUUGCUAAAUUUGAUUUUGGUAUCUGGCUACUUAUUGGCUGUCGGGCUCCAUUAGAUUAUUACAUUUGGUGAGCAUUUGGGAGCAAAAGGAGCGAAAAUCAGACAAAAAGAGCAGAUUUCAGGAGCCACACAGGUUAGGCCUUCCCACACACAUGGCCAUGUGCCAGACUGUGUCGAUUUCGCAACUCGCUUCCCAAACACGUAGCCAUCAGAGAAGAAGAGAAUAAGGGGCCAUCAAAGAAUAUUAAAGAAAACAACUCGAAGAACAACAUUGGAGCCAUCAGACCUCCUUUUAAUUUCUUUUGAAGUUUUUAUGAGUUUCUUUAUUUCUUAUGGUUAUUCUGACUUUGAGAUGUUUUUAUUCAGGAUUAUGAACUAAUUCCCUAGAUACCUAGAGAAGAUGAACCCUAUGAUGGAUUCUAUUACUUGAUUUCUGUUUUACGCUAUAAAUACUUAAUUCUUGUUCUCAGUUA